rnacentral:rRNA from 1 species
GCAUCGAUGAAGAACGCAGCGAAUUGCGAUAAGUAAUGUGAAUUGCAGAUACUCGUGAAUCAUUGAAUUUUUGAACGCACAUUGCGCCCUUGAGCAUUCUCAGGGGCAUGCCUGUUUGAGCGUCAUUUCCUUCUCAAAAGAUAAUUUAUUAUUUUUUGGUUGUGGGCGAUACUCAGGGUUAGCUUGAAGUUGGAGACUGUUUCAGUCUUUUUUAACUCAACACUUAGCUUCUUUGGAGACGCUGUUCUCGCUGUGAUGUAUUUAUGGAUUUAUUCGUUUUACUUUACAAGGGAAAUGGUAACGUACCUUAGGCAAAGGGUUGCUUUUAAUAUUCAUCAAGUUUGACCUCAAAUCAGGUAGGAUUACCCGCUGAACUUAAGCAUAUCAAUAAGCGGAGGA